AUUGAACGCUGGCGGCAGGCUUAACACAUGCAAGUCGAACGAGUGGCGGACGGGUGAGUAAUGCUUGGGAAUCUAGCUUAUGGAGGGGGAUAACUACGGGAAACUGUAGCUAAUACCGCGUACCAUAGGAUGAGCCCAAGUGGGCUUAGCUAGUAGGUGGGGUAAAGGCUCACCUAGGCGACGAUCUCUAGCUGGUCUGAGAGGAUGAUCGGCCAAACUGGGACGGAGAAACGGCCAGAACUCUUACGGGAGGCAGAAGUGGGGAAUAUUGAACAAUGGGCGCAAGCCUGAUGCAGCCAUGCCGCGUGUAUGAAGAAGGCCUUAGGGUUGUAAAGUACUUUCAGCGGGGAGGCGUUACCCGCAGAAGAAGCACCGGCUAACUCCGUGCCAGCAGCCGCGGUAAUC
rnacentral:rRNA from 1 species